rnacentral:rRNA from 1 species
GACGAACGCUGGCGGCGUGCUUAACACCUGCAAGUCGAGCGGAGCGGCGAACGCGUGAGUAACGCGUGUGUAACUGCCCCCCUCUCUGGGAUAACCGUUGGAAACGGCUCCUAAUCACGGACAGUGGGGGGGGACUCGCGUCCUAUCAGCUUGUUGGUGGGGUAGUGGCCUACCAAGCCGACGACUGGUAGCCGGCCUGAGAGGGCGACCGGCCACAUUGGGCUGAGAUACGGACCAAACUCCUACGGGGGGCAGCAGUGGGGAAUAUUGCACAAUGGGGGAAACCCUGAGGCGGCAACGCCGCGUGCGGGAUGACGGCCUUCGGGUUGUAAACCGCUUUCAGCCAUGACGCGGUAGUGGCAGAAGAAGCACCGGCUAACUACGUGCCAGCAGCCGCGGUAAUUC